GGGCAAGGCGUGGAGACUGCAGGGUCUGCCAGGGGUCUUGGAGAAGGGGAUCCUUCCCAGUGGGGCUAGAAGGGAACCUGCCUGGUGGCCAGAACCUGGGGCCAAGUUGGCCAGGUCUUCCCCAGAGUGGCUGGUGCCCAGGGAUGCGGUCCGGGGCAAUCUAGGGGACUCACCUGAGCUCCAGAAGGGAAGUCUGGGGCAAGAUCCUGUGGUCCUUCUUGUGCCUCGAUAUGAAGUUUAUAUCUCUCUUUCUUGCCACUGUUCUGUGAAUGAGAAAAAUGUUAAUUUUCAUGAUUUAAUCUACAAUCUGAAAAUAAGUUGAUAUAUAUGAUUCAUGCUGCUACCUGAAACCAUGUUGAUGUCAUUGAUCCUACUCUGUUAAUCAAAUUGAUGUCUAACAUAGGACAUCAUGCUAUUCCUGCUUCUUCUAGAAGCCAUGUAGCUGCUUGUGGUCCUUCUUAACCACUACAUACAUUGUUGAUUUCCAAGAUCUCUCCUGCCCCUUGUGACUGCAUUAAGUUAUUGUUCUGUGUUACCAACAUGCAGAAUGUUAAUUUGCAAGAUUUAACCCACCAUCCAAACAUAAGAUGAAAUCCAUAAUUCAUGAUGGCACCUGAAACCAUGUUGAUGCCAUUGAUCUCAUGUACCUCAGUUAAGCAAAUUGAUGUCCAUGGUUGGAUGACCUACCACGCUCUUCCUGCUAUUUCUGGAAGACUUGUUGAUGCUUGUGAUCUUUCUUACUGUGGAUAUGACACUGAUGUCCAUAUCCAUGGAGAUCUUCUGAUACCUGAUAUCCUAUUGAUGCAAGAAUUCUGUGCUGGCAAUGUGAUGAAUGUUAAUUGCCAUGAUCUCAGCUACCAUCUGAAACUGUUAUUUACUUGCUGUCACCUGCAACCUUGUUGAUGAGAUUGAUACCUGCUGUCCUCUUUAUCAUUUUCAUAAACCUUACUGUGCUAUUCCUAUUGUUUUGAAGUCCAUGUUGAUACUUUGUGGUACUUUUUGAUCCUGGAUAAGAUGUUGAUAUUGAUGGUCUGACCUGCUACCUGAGACCAUGCUGAGGUAAGUUUUCUGUGUUGCCCACAUGAAGAAUAUUGAUUUCCAUGAGUUGACCUGCCAUUGGAACUUAAGUUGAUAUCUGUAAUUCAUUCUGUCCCUGAAACAAUGUUGAUAUCACUGAUCCUUGUUUCUUUUGUUUAUCAUGUUAAUUACCACGAUCUGACCUACCAUGCUGUCCCUACUGCUUCUGGAAGCCAUGUUGAUGCCUGUGGUUCUUGGUGCCCAGGGAUAUGAUGUUGAUGUCGAUCUUCUGACUCCUGAAUCCGUGCUGAGCUAUGUUGCUGCCCAUGAUCUGACCUACCAUUCAACCUCUACUGCUUCAGGGAGCCAUAGUGAUGCCUGCAGUCCUUGUUGCCCCUGGAUACAAUGUUGAUGUCUGUGUUCUGUCCUGCCACUUGAGACCACAUUGAGCUGUCAACCAUGUUGAGGUUACUGAACUUUGCUACCACCUGUAACCAUAUUGAUGUCUGCAGUGUACAGUGUCAUCAGAAACAAUGUUGAAGUCAUUCGUUCAUACUGCUACCUGAGACCCAGCUCAAGCAACCAUGUUGAUGUGACUGAUUCUCGCUGCCUGUCUUAACCUUGCUGAUAUCCAUGAUUCGACCUGUCAUCUGAAACUUUCUUGAUGUCACUGAUCUUUGCUGUUGCUGUCAACCAUGUUGAUGCUACUGAAACUUGCUUCCACUUGUAACCAUACUGCUGUCUGUAGUCUGUUAUCAUCUGAGACAAUGCAGAAAUCAGUGGUGCAUACUACCACCUGAGACCCACUUCAGGAAACCAACCUUGUUGAUGUCACUGAUCUUUGUUCCCUGUUUUGACCAUGUGGAUGUCCAUUAUCUGACUUAACAUCUGAAAUUAUGUUGAUGUCACUCAUUCAUGCUGCCUCUGAUAACCAUGUUUAUGGCAAUAGUCUUUGUUGGAAUCUUAGACCUUGUGGAUGUCCAUUGUCUAUGUUGCCACCUGAACCCAUGAUGAUGACCAUGAAGAUUGUAGUCUGUGCUGCUGCUGGGGGUAAGGUCAAUAUAAAUGAUCUGAGCUGCCAACAGAAACUAUUUUAAUAUCAUUAAGCCAUCCUGGUGCUAGAGACCAUGCUGACAUCUUUGUCCUUGCUGCCACCAAAAACUAUGUUUAUGUUCAUGCUCUGGGCUGCAUGCUGAAGGCCAGUUGAAUAUCCAUGACCCAGAUGCUGAUGGAGAAUGUGUCAUGUAUGUGGUUAGUACUGCCACAAGAAGUCAUCCUGAUAGUGAUCUGUGAUGCCUCUCGCAAAUAUGUUAUGUUGGUGAUCUGUGUUGAUGUCAUGGACCAGAUGGAUGUCAGUUAUCCAAGCUGUCACCAGAAAUCUUGUGGACCAUGAUCUGUGCUGCUGCUGGAAAGCCUGUAAAAGUCUAUGAUCCAUUCUGCUACUGAAAACCAUGUGGAAGUCCGAGAUCUGUACUGCCACUGACUUCUAUUGGCAGGGAGCUUCUUUUGCAGUGGUAUCAAUGACUGUAGACUCACAACUGAAAUUCAGACAGACAUUGAAGGCUUCUGUGCCACCAUCCCCUCAAAAAGAAAAUCCAGACAGGAUCUUAUUGGAGAGUCCUUGAAAGUUGUAAUAAAAAUACUAUAUGUA